GGAGAAUAUUCUAGACUCUUUUAGAAGGCUUCCUGAGGGGAUCUGGACGCUUCACGGAGCCAGCCCGGAUGCUCCUCCUUGUGGCCAUUCUCUGGAGGCCUGCCAUCCUCGGGGGCUCCCCGUCACGCACACGGAAACCCUGUAAAAGGGCCUAGUGUUUCCUUUUCCACUCCCCAAAAGGAUGCGUGCUGAGCCCUGAGGACUGCAGGGGGCGGGUGACAGCGCUCUGGCCCGGCCCGGCUGGUGAAGCCCGGCUCCCGCCCCGCUCCUGCUGGGAUGAGCCACCCCAGCUCGCUCUCCGAGUGUUGCUUUGCACAUCUGGAAAACAGGAAUAAAAAUA